CCUACGGGAGGCAGCAGUAGGGAAUCUUCCGCAAUGGACGAAAGUCUGACGGAGCAACGCCGCGUGAGUGAUGAAGGCUUUCGGGUCGUAAAACUCUGUUGUUAGGGAAGAACAAGUGCUAGUUGAAUAAGCUGGCACCUUGACGGUACCUAACCAGAAAGCCACGGCUAACUACGUGCCAGCAGCCGCGGUAAUACGCAGGUGGCAAGCGUUAUCCGGAAUUAUUGGGCGUAAAGCGCGCGCAGGUGGUUUCUUAAGUCUGAUGUGAAAGCCCACGGCUCAACCGUGGAGGGUCAUUGGAAACUGGGAGACUUGAGUGCAGAAGAGGAAAGUGGAAUUCCAUGUGUAGCGGUGAAAUGCGUAGAGAUAUGGAGGAACACCAGUGGCGAAGGCGACUUUCUGGUCUGUAACUGACACUGAGGCGCGAAAGCGUGGGGAGCAAACAGGAUUAGAUACCCUGGUAGUCCACGCCGUAAACGAUGAGUGCUAAGUGUUAGAGGGUUUCCGCCCUUUAGUGCUGAAGUUAACGCAUUAAGCACUCCGCCUGGGGAGUACGGCCGCAAGGCUGAAACUCAAAGGAAUU
rnacentral:rRNA from 1 species